ACGGGGGGAGCAAGCGUUGUUCGGAUUUACUGGGCGUAAAGGGCGCGUAGGCGGCCACCGCAAGUCGACUGUGAAAUCUCCGGGCUUAACUCGGAAAGGUUAGCCGAUACUGCGGGGCUAGAGUGCAGAAGGGGCAACUGGAAUUCUCGGUGUAGCGGUGAAAUGCGUAGAUAUCGGGAGGAACAUCAGUGGCGAAGGCGACCGCCUGGCCCAACACUGACGCUGAGGUGCGAAAGCGUGGGUAGCAAACAGGA
rnacentral:rRNA from 1 species